UCCCUUAAAGACUAGUGGUUAGGCCACACGCUCUCACCCCUGCAGCCCGGGUUCGACUCCCGGCCAGGGAA